rnacentral:RNase_P_RNA from 1 species
GGAGUUGGCCAGACAGUCGCCGCCGCCUCCGGCCCUCGGGCCGGAGCGGGGGAGGAAAGUCCGGGCUCCACAGGGCAGAGUGCCAGGUAACGCCUGGGCGGCGUGAGCCGACGGAAAGUGCAGCAGAGAGCAGACCGCCCAAGUCUCCCUCGGGAGACCGGUAAGGGUGAAAGGGUGCGGUAAGAGCGCACCGCACGCCUGGUAACAGUGCGUGGCAAGGUAAACCCCACUCGGAGCAAGACCAAAUAGGAACCCCAUGACGUGGCCCGCGUCGGGUUCGGGUAGGUCGCUUGAGGGCCCUGGUAACAUGGCCCCUAGAGGAAUGACUGUCCGCGACAGAACCCGGCUUAUCGGCCGACUCCCUUA